GACGAACGCUGGCGGCGUGCUUAACACAUGCAAGUCGAACGGAAAUGCCCUGCUUUUGUGGGGUGCUCGAGUGGCGAACGGGUGAGUAACACGUGAGUAACCUGCCCUUGACUUUGGGAUAACUUCAGGAAACUGGGGCUAAUACCGGAUAGGAGCUCCUGCUGCAUGGUGGGGGUUGGAAAGUUUCGGCGGUUGGGGAUGGACUCGCGGCUUAUCAGCUUGUUGGUGGGGUAGUGGCUUACCAAGGCUUGACGGGUAGCCGGCCUGAGAGGGUGACCGGCCACAUUGGGACUGAGAUACGGCCCAGACUCCUACGGGAGGCAGCAGUGGGGAAUAUUGCACAAUGGGCGGAAGCCUGAUGCAGCAACGCCGCGUGCGGGAUGACGGCCUUCGGGUUGUAAACCGCUUUCGCCUGUGACGAAGCGUGAGUGACGGUAAUGGGUAAAGAAGCACCGGCUAACUACGUG
rnacentral:rRNA from 1 species